rnacentral:lncRNA from 1 species
UUUCCACCUUUGCCGUGGGUGGUGUUUGUUCUUCCUCUUCAAUCAUCAACUCAUCCACCUCGUUAGAACGUGAUUUGGAGUGUUGGGGGUCAGAUCCUACGUGCUUCCCACUUCGCAAAGUUAUAGCUUUUGCAGAUUCGAAUCCACCUUUUGGAUUGACCACGGUUGAGUUAGGCAACUUGCCUUGCUCUCGAAACUGCCCCAUAAACUCGGCAAUUUGCCCCACUUGCUUCUCCAACUCGUCCACCUUCUUGUCCCUAGUUUGCAUGCCCUACACCAUAGAAGUUAGUAAAUUAAAAAUAUGAUCAUUAUCAAUAGAAGAACCUGAUUUUUGGGCGGGUUGUGCUUGGGGUUGAGUUGGUGCAAACGGCUUUUGAUAGAAACCCGGGAGUUGUUGCCUAAAUGUGCUUUGUUAUUGGCCUUGUUGGGGUUCUCGCCAUUUGAAAUUUGGAUGAUCACGCCAACCGGGAUUGUAAGUAUUAGAAAAGGGGUCGUUCCUCGGUUGGUAUUGGUUGCCAAAUCCCACGGCAUUGAGGGUCUCCCAACCUCCAUUCUCUAUCAAUUGUGGGCACUUGCCUGUAAGGUGUCCUUGCG